rnacentral:rRNA from 1 species
UACGUAGGGUGCGAGCGUUGUCCGGAAUUAUUGGGCGUAAAGAGCUUGUAGGCGGUUUGUCGCGUCUGCUGUGAAAUUCCAGGGCUUAACCCUGGGCUUGCAGUGGGUACGGGCAGACUAGAGUGUGGUAGGGGAGACUGGAAUUCCUGGUGUAGCGGUGAAAUGCGCAGAUAUCAGGAGGAACACCGAUGGCGAAGGCAGGUCUCUGGGCCACUACUGACGCUGAGGAGCGAAAGCGUGGGGAGCGAACAGG